AGCCAAUGUUUUUGUUUGCUUGUAAUCUUUUCUUAGGGUGAGAAGGGAACUGUAGGUGACCCUGGACCCAGAGGACCAUAUGGCUUGCCUGGCAAAGACGGCGAGCCUGGCCUUGAUGGUUUCCCUGGUCCUCGAGGAGAAAAGGGUGAUAUAGGAGAAAAGGGAGAAAAGGUGACCAUAGUGUUCAUAACUGUUGCUUGAUUCCUCAGCUGAUCACUUCUGCUGUCUUUACGC
ensembl:lncRNA